UGUAGCUCAGUGGUAGAGCAUGUGGCUAGCAUGCAAAAAGGCCUGGGUUUAAUUCCCAGCA
rnacentral:tRNA from 1 species